rnacentral:rRNA from 1 species
UAUAGAGGUCUCAAGCGUUGUUCGGAUUCAUUGGGCGUAAAGGGUGCGUAGGCGGCGCGGUAAGUCGGGUGUGAAAUCUUGGAGCUUAACUCCGAAACUGCAUUCGAUACUGCCGUGCUUGAGGACUGGAGAGGAGACUGGAAUUUACGGUGUAGCGGUGAAAUGCGUAGAUAUCGUAAGGAAGACCAGUGGCGAAGGCGGGUCUCUGGACAGUUCCUGACGCUGAGGCACGAAGGCCAGGGGGAGCAAACGGG